rnacentral:rRNA from 1 species
UUUUUGGCCCUCGUCCCCCACUGUAUGUUGUGUGCAUGGAAUAAUGGAAUAGGACCUCGGUUCUAUUUUGUUGGUUUUCGGAAUCUGAGGUAAUGAUCAAUGGGGACAGGCGGGGGCAUUCGUAUUGCGACGUUAGAGGUGAAAUUCUUGGAUCGUCGCAAGACGGACCGAAGCGAAAGCAUUUGCCAAGUAUGUUCUCGUCGAUCAAGAACGAAAGUUAGAGGUUCGAAGGCGAUCAGAUACCGCCCUAGUUCUAACCAUAAACUAUGCCUGCCAGCGAUCCGCCGAAGUUCCUCCGAUGACUCGGCGGGCAGCUUCCGGGAAACCAGAGCUUUUGGGUUCCGGGGGAAGUAUGGUUGCAAAGCUGAAACUUAAAGGAAUUGACGGAAGGGCACCACCAGGAGUGGAGCCUGCGGCUUAAUUUGACUCAACACGGGAAAACUCACCAGGCCCGGACACCGGAAGGAUUGACAGAUUGAGAGCUCUUUCUUGAUUCGGUGGGUGGUGGUGCAUGGCCGUUCUUAGUUGGUGGAGCGAUUUGUCUGGUUAAUUCCGAUAACGAACGAGACUCUAGCCUACUAACUAGGCGUACCCGGUAUCCACAAUCGUGCUACCGGCGAUCAAAUUUCUUCUUAGAGGGACAGGCGGCUUCUAGCCGCACGAGACUGAGCAAUAACAGGUCUGUGAUGCCCUUAGAUGUCCUGGGCCGCACGCGCGCUACACUGAAGGAAUCAGCGUGUCUUCCCUGUCCGAAAGGACCGGGUAAUCCGCUGAACCUCCUUUGUGCUAGGGAUUGGGGCUUGCAAUUGUUCCCCAUGAACGAGGAAUCCCAGAAGCGCGAUUAUUGGC